rnacentral:sRNA from 1 species
UUUUUUUUUCCUUUUUUU